rnacentral:misc_RNA from 1 species
GUUAAAUGAUUGGUUGGUACUUUUGUAGAUGAGGUAUUUGAAGCCAUCCAACUUGUUUCAUGAAUUACUGAAGUCAAAUGCACUUGCAAGUAGCCGUAUUCUUGGGUUGGAUGUGGGUGAUAAGUACGUUGGUCUAGCUGUUUCGGACACAACAAAUAAAGUUGCAUCACCUCUCGCUGUUCUCCUCCGCAAGAAAACAAAUAUAGACUUGAUGGCCAAAGAUUUACAGGGUCUGGUUUCUGAACUUAACUUGGGGGCCUUUGUUUUCGGCUAUCCAUUUGAUAGACAAAAAACUAGUCGAGAUGCUGUGCAUGUGAAGUUAUUCAUUGACGACCUUUGUCGGACAGGGG